UACGUAGGGUGCGAGCGUUGUCCGGAAUUAUUGGGCGUAAAGAGCUCGUAGGCGGUCUGUCGCGUCGGUCGUGAAAACCUGCAGCUUAACUGUGGGCGUGCGGUCGAUACGGGCAUGACUGGAGUUCGGCAGGGGAGACUGGAAUUCCUGGUGUAGCGGUGAAAUGCGCAGAUAUCAGGAGGAACACCGGUGGCGAAGGCGGGUCUCUGGGCCGAUACUGACGCUGAGGAGCGAAAGCGUGGGGAGCGAACAGG
rnacentral:rRNA from 1 species